ensembl:lncRNA novel transcript, antisense to CCT4
UGUCAGUCAAGAUUUCAAUGCCCUUUUCCAGGGCCUUCUGGAAUGACUCAGAAAUGAUGGUUGGAUGAAUCCCUGUAAUUUGUGAAAGUCUAGUUAUUUAAUUGUAACAGUAAUAAAGUACAUCCUACCCACCUUUCUGAAGAAGCUUGGUACAAGAAUCUAAGAGGGAGCCAGCAAUGAUGACUACUGAUGUGGUGCCAUCUCCUGCUUCUAUAUCUUGAGCCUUAGACAGCUCCACCAGCUAAGUGAACAGAAAAUGCCAAGUUGCUCAAUGAGAAAUGACAGAACCCAGUAACACCUAAUUCAAAUAAUCGCACCAGUGUCACAAACAGAAUUUGAAGAUGCAACAUGAUUCCUGAUUUCUUCUGAUUUGUUGUCUACCUUGGGUUUCAUUUAAAAUUAAAGACUAGUAGAUGAUCUCCAGUUCAGAUUGUGGGUUGUCAUCUCCCCCUGCCCUGCUACUCAAAAGUUCUAAUUAGAAAGCAAAAAUAUAUCGUAAGUACUCUAUAGAAUUGGAAGCUAAGAAAAGGGGCAUUCCAGAUGAGACUAGAGUAUCAAACUUUUUUUUUUGAGACAGGGUCUUACUCUGUCACCCAGACUGGAGUAUAGCAGUGCAAUCAUGGCUCACUGCAGCCUCCACCUCCUGGGCUCAAGAGAUCCUCCUGUCUCAGUCUCCCGAGUAGCUGGGGCUAUAGGUGCACACUAACACAUCUGGCUACUUUUUUUAAAAAGUCUUUUUUGUUCGUUUGUUUUUAGAGACGGGGCCCCAUUAUGUUCCCUAGAAUGGUCUUGAACUCCUGGGCUCAAAGGAUCCUCCUGCUUCAGCCUCCCACAGUGCUGAGAUUACAGGCAUGAACCACCAUUCCCAGCCUCAGAGUAUCAACUUAAGAGUCUUUUGCCAAGUUUAUUUGAGUAGACCCCUUGUAAGUAUAACCUGAUUCAUUAAAAAGCCAUCUUUUCAUAACUGGUGGAUGGCACAACAUAUGAAGCCUCAGGACUAUCCAAGAAAACAGCAAAACUUCACGUAGCAGUGAAGUUUUGUUUUAUUUAGCAAUGCUUUCUUAUUUUAUGUUCCAAAUAAGAUGCUUAUUUUCCUAUAAUAAUCAUUUUUUUCAACAUUUUAAUAGCAAUAUUAUAUAUAGAGACUUUUGUCACUUCUGGAUAACAAAAUUUUUUUGUUAUCCUGUCGAACUCCUGACC